rnacentral:lncRNA from 1 species
AGUAAUUAAGGUCUUUCCUCUCCGCGAGGAAAGACCUUAUUGUUUUUCUCCUGUUUUUUUUUUUUUUUUUUUUUUUUUUUUUUCAUCCAGCAUUUGUUUAACAUGGCCUCCCCUUGUUUCUAUUGAAGUUAUCAAGACCAAAUAUGGACCAUCGUAGACCUCAUCAUGAAGUAUUACCAGAUGAGGCUGUGUAGGAUUUCAUCAUCCCCUUUAGAAGUUAUCUCCCUUUUAUUGGUUUUUUUCGACAUGGCCCCCC